AUUGAACGCUGGCGGCAGGCCUAACACAUGCAAGUCGAGCGGAUGAGGGUAGCUUGCUACCUGAUUCAGCGGCGGACGGGUGAGUAAUGCCUAGGAAUCUGCCUGGUAGUGGGGGACAACGUUUCGAAAGGAACGCUAAUACCGCAUACGUCCUACGGGAGAAAGUGGGGGAUCUUCGGACCUCACGCUAUCAGAUGAGCCUAGGUCGGAUUAGCUAGUUGGUGGGGUAAAGGCUCACCAAGGCGACGAUCCGUAACUGGUCUGAGAGGAUGAUCAGCCACACCGGAACUGAGACACGGUCCGGACUCCUACGGGAGGCAGCAGUGGGGAAUAUUGGACAAUGGGGGAAACCCUGAUCCAGCAAUGCCGCGUGUGUGAAGAAGGCCUGCGGGUUGUAAAGCACUUUUGUUGGGGAAGAAAAGCCGUCGGCGAAUAUCCGGCGGUCUUGACGGUACCCAAAGAAUAAGCACCGGCUAACUCCGUGCCAGCAGCCGCGGUAAUACGGAGGGUGCG
rnacentral:rRNA from 1 species